GAUAGGGCCUCAAGUGUAGAAUCACGCAGUCUGUGAAGAGAGAUGCUUGUACCCCUCCCUUUCCUGUUUCCAUGUCUUUCACAUCUUUGUCUUCCUUAUCUCUUUGGCUCCAACUUCACAAUAUUGACUAGGAGUGGAAAUGGUGACCACCCUUGCCUCAUCGCAUAUUUUAGAGGAAAUGUUUUCAGUUUGUUUUCCCAUUUAAUAUAAUGUUGGCUUUAUUGCUUUGAGGAAUGUUCUGUCUGUUCCUAAUUUCUCUAGGACUUUUUAUCAUGGCUUGGGAGUUGUAAUCUUGUUAACCUUUAUGACAGAGAGUGGAAUCUUCAGUUGAUUUAUUCUGUUUAUUAUUCAUCCAUGCCCCACCCCCAUCACCAUCUGCCUAAUCGUUGUUUCUUGCUGUCUACUGGGUUUGUGUUGCCUUCUUGAUUUGCUAAAGCUAUGAGAUGCACUGUUGGUUUUGGCUUUUAUUUGAGGUCUCUAUGAUUUCUGACUGUGAACACUUCUAGCCGUAAAACUUCCUCUUAGGACUACUUUGCUGACUCCCAGAGGGUCUGGGAGGUUGUGUUUUCAUCUGUUUCUCAAGAAUUUUUAAUUUCCUUCACGAUUUCUUCAGUGAUUUAUUGUUUGUUCAAAUGUGCUGUUCAGGCUCUAAGUAUUUUGUGUAGUUUCUGAAUAUUCUCUUACUUCAUCCUACAAUGAUUGGAUAGGAUACUCCAAAUUAUCUUGACCUUGUGCAUGUGUGUGCACGUGCGUUCAUGUGUGCACCUGCAUGUGUGUGUAUGUGUAUUUUUGGUUUUGUGUGUGCCUACAUAUGUGUGUGUGUGUGUGUUAAGGAUUGCUUUGUGACCUAUGGUGUAAUCAACUUUUGAGAGGCUUCCAUGUCUCCUGGGUAAAAUGUUCUGUAGCAUAUUAAAUCAUUACUAAGCUAUUAAUAACAGUUGCUCUAUGAUAUGAUGUGCCAAGGUCUCACCCCUGCUUGUUCUGCUGGUACUGGGGAUCUGCAGCAGUCUGUUCUAUGCCAAAGCUUCAAGGGGGAGUAGACAGUUCAUUGGGCACUGGAAAGGUUACAUAGCACCCUAUCUUUGGAAGGUAGUAGAACACAGUAGCCAUGUGCAUGGGCUGGAGCCAUACAGAGCUGAGUGGGAACCAUGGGCAGAGUGUGGAUAGAUUGCAGAACUCAAGCAGUAAAAACUGACAACCAUGUAGGAAUGUGACCGCAGAGUGAAGUGGGUCAAUGGUUUUGUUGGAUGCCCAGACCACAACAAACCCUUCAUAAAAUGUAUAUCCGUCACACUGAUUUGACUGUCCCUCCACAUUGUCUCUGCUGGCGUCCCAUUCCUCUUCUCUUCCAUUACAGACAGCUAAGUUUGCCAAAUAUUCAUUGUAAUAUUCAUGUAGGUGAUACUGAACUUAAUUUUUCCAUUUAUUUGUUCAUUCACUCAUCUGACC
rnacentral:lncRNA from 1 species